CUGAAUUUUUUAUAGACAUUAUCAUCGAGCAUGAGUAUGUUGAGUGCACUGCAUCAGCCAUUCAGGCUCUAGUUUUGUUUAAGAAGUUAUACCCGGGACACAGGAACAAGGAGAUAGACAAUUUCAUCACAAAUGCUGCUAAGUACAUUGAAGACAUGCAAAUGCUUGAUGGCUCAUGGUAUGGCAAUUGGGGAGUAUGUUUCACCUAUGGCUCAUGGUUUGCACUUGGGGGCCUAGCAGCUGCUGGCAAGACUUACCACAACUGUCUUGCUAUUGGUAGAGUUGUUGAGUUUCUACUCAAAUCACAAAGAGAUGA